rnacentral:rRNA from 1 species
CGUGUAGGCGGCGCUAUAAGUCCGGAGUGAAAGUCCCGUUUCAAGGUGGGAAUUGCUUUGGAGACUGUAGAGCUUGAGUGCGGAAGAGGUAAGUGGAAUUCCCAGUGUAGCGGUGAAAUGCGUAGAGAUUGGGAGGAACACCAGUGGCGAAGGCGACUUACUGGGCCGUAACUGACGCUGAGGCGCGAAAGCGUGGGGAGCGAACA